rnacentral:rRNA from 1 species
UACGUAGGGUGCAAGCGUUGUCCGGAAUUAUUGGGCGUAAAGAGCGUGUAGGCGGCUAGGUAGGUCCGUUGUGAAAACUCGAGGCUCAACCUCGAGACGCCGAUGGAAACCAUCUGGCUAGAGUCCGGAAGAGGAGAGUGGAAUUCCUGGUGUAGCGGUGAAAUGCGCAGAUAUCAGGAGGAACACCGGUGGCGAAGGCGGCCUUCUGGACGGAUACUGACGCUGAGACGCGAAAGCGUGGGGAGCAAACAGG